GCCGGCCUGAGAGGGUCCCGGCCACACUGGGACUGAGACACGGCCCAGACUCCUACGGGAGGCAGCAGUGGGGCGUAUUGCACAAUGGGCGAAAGCCUGAUGCAGCAACGCCGCGUGAGGGAUGACGGCCUUCGGGUUGUAAACCUCUUUCAGCAGGGACGAAGCGCAAGUGACGGUACCUGCAGAAGAAGCACCGGCCAACUACGUGCCAGCAGCCGCGGCCGAA
rnacentral:rRNA from 1 species